UCAACUUCCGGUACCACAGUUUUUACUUCCGGUCACCAGUGUGUCAGGCAGGAAGGUUUCGAUCGUAAACAUCACCACAAGAUUUUAACAGUAAGGAAAAUCGUCAGGUGACCUUAAAGCACUCAUGAGCAGGACUUCUACUCCUCUCGAUGACAGUGUGCACUUAGAAGAAAUGGAUUACUUUCCAGACUCAGAUACAGCUCAGAUCAUUUCUCCGGACAGAGAAGAUGGUCAAGAGGAUGGUGUCAAUAACAGUGUUUCAAAUACUAGUGCAAGUGAUUCGUGUAAGACAACGGAUGAAAAGGGAGCUCCUAUUAUCGGGAAGAGGAAAGCUUACAUAACAGUGGCAACUCUUCUGUUUAUAAAUUUGCUAAACUAUAUGGAUAGGUUCACGAUAGCAGGUGUUCUGAAACAGGUGCAAGAUUACUAUCAUAUCGACAAUUCUGAAGCAGGAAUCAUUCAGACAUCUUUUAUCAUAGCAUACAUGAUCUUCUCACCUAUUUUUGGUUACCUCGGGGAUCGCUACACAAGGAAAUACAUCAUGGCAAUAGGAAUUCUUUUGUGGUCUGGAUUCACUCUAGGGGCUUCUUUUAUCGGAGACAAGCAUUUUGGAAUAUUUGUACUGAUGCGAGCUUUGGUUGGUAUUGGAGAAGCCAGUUAUUCUACCAUUGCUCCAACUAUCAUUGCUGAUCUAUUUGCUAAGCAGAUGCGAACACGCAUGCUUAUGGUCUUCUACUUUGCCAUUCCUGUUGGCAGUGGCCUGGGAUUUAUAGUGGGAGCCAAUGUUGCUGAACUGUUUCAUGAUUGGAAGUAUGCUUUGAGGGUGACACCUGGCCUUGGUCUCAUCUGCGUGGUGCUCAUUAUUCUCUUCUGCCAGGAGCCGGUACGCGGCAUGUCUGAGGGUGGCACCCAUCUGCACGCUACUGACAUAUUGACAGACCUCAAAUCUUUGUUCAAAAACAAGAGCUUUAUGCUGUCUUCUGUUGGCUUUACAUGCGUGGCUUUUGCAACUGGUUCUCUGGCAAUCUGGGCCCCAACUUUUAUGACUGAUGCUAUUGCUUCAAAUGGAGGCAAACGGGAUGAUGCAUUGGUGUCAUUGGAGUUUGGUGUCAUAACAGUGGUUGCAGGAUUUCUUGGAGUGUUCCUGGGUGCAGAAGGGGCUCGUUGGUAUCGGCGCUACAACAAGCAAGCUGAUCCUCUGAUCUGUGCCUUUGGCCUCCUGAGUUCUGUCCCCUUCCUAUUCUUUGCCCUCACCCUGGCCAAAAUCAGCCCACCUGCCACUUGGUUUCUGAUAUUUGUUGGCGAGACCUUGCUUUGUCUCAACUGGGCAUUAACAGCAGAUAUCCUGUUGUAUGUGGUCAUACCUACACGACGAUCAACUGCAGAAGCCAUGCAGAUUCUACUGUCUCAUGCAUUUGGUGAUGCUGGUAGUCCAUAUUUAACUGGAGCAGUAGGGUGGCAGAUGCACUGGCACCCUAUUUUGGGGGGAGCAGCACAAGUCCAUCUGUACAGUUUGUCACAUUGCAGUACGCGCUGUACAUGACAGCCUUUGUAUGUGUGCUAGGGGGCGGAGCGUACUUGGCCACAGCCAUUUACAUCGAGGGAGAUAAACAAGCUGCAAAGCAACAGACACAAGAAAUGGUAGAGAGAAUUGGCACCCAAGAGGUUCGAGACUACAGUUAUUCCAGUCCCAUCUAGUUAUGAGACAGGCAGCAGCCAGCAUCUUAAAGUACCAGCUAGUGACUACAAAAGCAAAGAUCGUUCAAGUUGACAUAUAUCUGAGUUGUCAAGAGUUGUGUUUAGUAUUAGUAUAUCUAUAAAUAUCCUGUACUAUUGAAGGCAUCUGAUAAUAUUCUUUGUUUAAAAAAAUUCUAGUCCUUCAUCCUCAAUACAUGGAAUUUGUGUAGAGGCACUAUUAUCACUUGUUUAUGUACUAUAAAAGAAAGCUUCAUUUAAACUUUCUAUAAUUCUGGUAGUGAAAAGUGUGUGCACAUUUAUCAACUCUAUAGUUUUUCUUAGUUUAAAAAAAAAAAUCAGCUAAACAAAAAUCUUGAAACUUUAAACCACUGUAAAGAGUUAUGUGGAUACUUAUUAAUAGUCAUUUCCCUGAUGCGUGCAAAUGUGUAUUUGUGUGCACAUUUAUCUCAGUAUACUGUUAUAAGCCUGAUUCUUGCUGUUUAUGAGUAGAAGUUUGAGGUUCAUUUUUUGUUUCAAAGGGUUUGAAAUAGUUUAUUCUGUAAACAGUGAUGAAUGAAAUACUCAUAUGGCAAGGAUGCAAAUCUGUCUCCUGUUUCCUUAAAUACCUGUUCUCCGUAAGUGCUGAAUUAUGAUAUCUGUGGAUAACAAGAAUUUUUAGCAUUAUUUAUUUCAGGGGCAAGUUGAUGUCAGCUGACUUAUUUUUUAAAAUAACUGAAAAUUGUCUGUCCUGUUAUGUUUUACUCUCUCUGGUAAAUUGGACAGUUAUGGAGUAAUGCAUACUCUGCUGAACUGCGUGCAUGUCUGGAUGGAAGCAUGCUUGUAAUAAGUGUUUGAUAGUGGUGACAAUACGUUUGAUUGUCCAUGUACAUAAUGUAUGCCUGCUGAUCUUGUUGACAGAAUGCUGUUCACUCAUGUAAACGAGGAACAUGUUACAUCUUGAUACUUAACAUUGAUGGAAUGCAGUAUUAAAGAGAAAGUUCACUUAAAAACCAUACAGUGUUUAAAUGAGGGAUAUUGACAUUCUCAGUCUUAAGAACUUUACUUAUGAUAGCAUUUGAAACACAGUUCUGAAUUAGUUCACAGAAGCUGCCAUGUUUUAUCAAGGGAUAUCAGAAGUGCAAUUCUUCUGCAACAGCUCACUCUUGUUCUUCUAAGUGUGGUUGUCAAAAUGCAGGCACCAUGGAUUUGGGGAUCAUAUGUAUAAUUUUAUACCAAGAUUACAAUAUUACAAGAACCCUGGCAAUGCACAGGGUAAGGUUAUAAAUAUUAACAUGGAAUGCCCACAUAUCUCAUGUCUGUUAGAGAGGCAGUCUUUUCCACAGAGAAACUUGUUAUGCGAGUGAUUUCUGAGUGAAACAAGAAUCUCUAUUGAACAACAAGAAGCAUAUGCUUUAUACUGGAACCGCACAUGCUGAAAAUUAGUGAACAGAGAGGUGCAUGAUGCCAUUAGGGAGGCAAAGAAAAGACGCAAAAAUAAAGUUGAGUCGCAGUUCAGUAGUGGCGACCUUAGGGCAGCUUGGCAUGGUAUUAAGAACAUGUCUUCUGUCAAUAACAAGAAAAACACUCUUAAAAAAUCAGUGGCACUUGCAGGCAUUAUGAGUGAUCUUCCCAAUGUGCUUAAUUCUUUUUAUGCCCACUUUGAGAAACAUGACUUCUCUCACAAGGUUUCCACACUAAAACAGUCUCUGGUCCCUGAGCAUGAGUUAGUGAUUGCUCAGUCCUCUGUCAAAGAUCUCUUGAGGCGAGCAAGUGUUAACAAGGCUCCAGGUCCAGACAGAAUCUGUGGACACACCCUUCAUUAGUGUGCCGAACAACUUAUUGGAGGUUUACAACAUCUGUUCCAGCUGUCUGUGGAUUCUGGUCACAUUUUUGAUAUUUGGAAACUUUCACCCAUUGUGCCUCUCCCUUAAAUUACUAGGCCCAGUCAAUCCAACAACUUCAGACCAGUCACUCUUAAAUCAAUCAUCAUGAAAUCACUUAAGAAAAUUGUAAGGAGUAAGGUUAUGACUGCUCUUGAUCCACAUCUUGAUCCGCUGCAGUUCAUCUAUGGAGCUGGAUGAGGUGUACUAAAUACUCUGUAGAAGCAUCUGGAGAAACCCAGAGCUCAUGCCAGGCUUCUCUUCACUGAUUUUUUUUUCCUGCUUUUAACACUAUGCAACAUCACUUGUUGGUGGAGAAUCUUGUUUCAGACUUUUCAGAUCUGUCUCACCAACUCUCUGGAUUCUGGAUGUUUUAACAAACAAACAACAGAGAGUUUCUGUUAAUGGUCUUCCCUCAGAUCCUGUUGUCACCUGUACAGGUUUCCCUCAAGGCUUCUGCUUGUCUCCACUACUGUUCAUAAUAGUUGUAGAAGCACUUAGGUUAGGGGCUUUCUUGUAAAAUUUGCUGACGACACUGCCUUGCUGUCUCUUUUAUAUGACUGUGAACACGUUCAUAGUGGUGCUCUUCCUGUUUGCUGGUGUGAUGAACACUUUCUUGUCUUGAAUGCUUCAAACUAAGGAAAUGAUUUUCAACUUUUGGAUGAACAGACCUCAGGCAAUCAUCAGUGUUAUCCCUGAUGAUGCCAUUGAGGUAGUUGACUCUUACAAAUAUCUACUAUCUUUGAUAACAAGCUUAGAUGGGACUGUCAUGAUCCACCAUAAGAGCCAACAAUAUCUGUAUCUCCUACGGAAACUCAGAUCUUUCUCCGUCAGCUCUGUCCUCCUCACUCGGUUCUAUUAGUCCUUCAUUGAAAGUCAUCACUUUUUCUUUCAUCUCUUGGUACCCUAGGGAACAGAAACAGUCUUGUCUUCCUUAUUAAUACUUAUUCUAAGAUUACCGGAACAAGCAGAGGGAUUUGGCAGCUUUUUUGUAAAUCCUCAGUAAGGCAUCAUGCAUCCUCUCUAUUCCUGAUCAAACGUUGGCAUGUGACUUUUCAGUCUAGCCGUCUGGCCGCAGGUACACAAAGCCUGUAUGCAGAGCCAAUCGUCACUGCAAUUCAUUCAUUCCAUUUACUUGAUCAACUCUACUGUCCGUGAUCUUGUACUAGCCUGAGGUGAUCUGGAGUCACCAACUGUAUCUGCUGUUGGGAAUAUGUGUGUGCAUGUGGGAGAGAGAAUGUGUGUGUGUGAGACACUAUUUCAACAUGUACAUUUAUAUUAUCUUUUAUAUCAUGUAUAUAUAUAUUAUUGCUAGUACGAGCACUAUUUUGAAUUGCCCUUUGGGAUCAAUAAAGUUGUAUUGUAAGAAUGCUAAUUGUAUAAUACAACAAACGUUCUUCUGGAUCAUUGUGUUGAAUUGGGAAUGGAAAAAGAAUUUGUAAAGAUUCUUGCAUACCAAUAAAGCCAGUGUCCCUCGUGUACCUAUUGUCUCAAUCAAGACCUUGACCCCAGCCAGAAUGAUGAGCUCAGCAUUGCUCUUUCCUUGUCAAAUCAUGCCUGCUAAUUGUCACCUUGCUCUCCACCAUGAAAAACAUGGCAGACUUAAUGAACCAUACUGGGGCUGUGUUUAAGAUGCAGUUGUAAGGAAAUCAUCUUUCACAACCUGACAUUAUGAGUGAAAAAAUAUGGAAUGUCAGUAUCCAUGAUUUAAGCCCAACAUCUUAGUUCAAGAAUAUUCUUUUCAUUUUCAAAUGUGGGAGAAAUACUGCUUGUCUUUGUGGUCAUUCUUGCCUUAUUGAUGUGUGCAAAAUGUGUAAGAAAUCAUCUUUAUUUUGUAAAAAGAAUGUCAAG
rnacentral:misc_RNA from 1 species